AAUAGUACCCUGGUAGUCCACGCCGUAAACGAUGUCGACUUGGAGGUUGUGCCCUUGAGGCGUGGCUUCCGGAGCUAACGCGUUAAGUCGACCGCCUGGGGAGUACGGCCGCAAGGUUAAAACUCAGGUGAAUUGACGGGGGCCCGCACAAGCGGUGGAGCAUGUGGUUUAAUUCGAUGCAACGCGAAGAACCUUACCUACUCUUGACAUCCAGAGAACUUAGCAGAGAUGCUUUGGUGCCUUCGGGAACUCUGAGACAGGUGCUGCAUGGCUGUCGUCAGCUCGUGUUGUGAAAUGUUGGGUUAAGUCCCGCAACGAGCGCAACCCUUAUCCUUUGUUGCCAGCGGUUAGGCCGGGAACUCAAAGGAGACUGCCAGUGAUAAACUGGAGGAAGGUGGGGAUGACGUCAAGUCAUCAUGGCCCUUACGAGUAGGGCUACACACGUGCUACAAUGGCAUAUACAAAGAGAAGCGACCUCGCGAGAGCAAGCGGACCUCAUAAAGUAUGUCGUAGUCCGGA
rnacentral:rRNA from 1 species